CAGCAGCCACGGGAAUACAGAGGGUGCGAGCGUUAAUCGGAUUUACUGGGCGUAAAGCGUGCGUAGGCGGCUAAUUGAGUCGGAUGUGAAAUCCCCGAGCUUAACUUGGGAAUUGCAUUCGAUACUGGUUAGCUAGAGUGUGGGAGAGGAUGGUAGAAUUCCAGGUGUAGCGGUGAAAUGCGUAGAGAUCUGGAGGAAUACCGAUGGCGAAGGCAGCCAUCUGGCCUAACACUGACGCUGAGGUACGAAAGCAUGGGGAGCAAACAGGAUUAGAUACCCGGGUAGUCCCUAUCUCUUAUAC
rnacentral:rRNA from 1 species